GAUGAACGCUGGCGGCGUGCCUAAUACAUGCAAGUCGAGCGAACGGACGAGAAGCUUGCUUCUCUGAUGUUAGCGGCGGACGGGUGAGUAACACGUGGAUAACCUACCUAUAAGACUGGGAUAACUUCGGGAAACCGUAGCUAAUACCGGAUAAUAUUUUGAACCGCAUAGUUCAAAAGUGAACGACGGUCUUGCUGUCACUUUUAGGUGGAUCCGCGCUGCCUUAGCUAGUUGGUAAGGGAACGGCUUACCAAGGCAACGAUGCAUAGCCGACCUGAGAGGGUGAUCGGCCACACUGGAACUGAGACACGGUCCAGACUCCUACAGGAGGCAGCAGUAGGGAAUCUUCCGCAAUGGGCGAAAGCCUGACGGAGCACCGCCGCGUGAGUGAUGAAGGUCUUCGGAUCGUAAAACUCUGUUAUUAGGGAAGAACAUAUGUGUAAGUAACUGUGCACAUCUUGACGGUACCUAAUCAGAAAGCCACGGCUAACUACGUG
rnacentral:rRNA from 1 species